rnacentral:pre_miRNA from 1 species
CCCUUAACUAUUAAAAGUUUCAUUUUGGUCCCUUAACUUAUUUUUUGAUUUCGUUUUGGUCCCUUAACUUAUUUUUUGGUUUCAUUUUGGUUCCUUAACUCUAAUACAUUCAUCCUAACAUAAAGGACUAAAGUGGUUGACGGAGGAAGAGUUAAGGAAUCAAAACGAAACCAAAAAGUAAGUUAAAUGACCAAAACGAAACUUUUAAUAGUUAAGGGAUCAAAACGAAAUCAAAAAGUAAGUUAAGGGACCAAAACGAAACUUUUAAUAGUUAAGAGA